rnacentral:rRNA from 1 species
UACGUAGGGUGCAAGCGUUAAUCGGAAUUACUGGGCGUAAAGCGUGCGCAGGCGGUUGUGCAAGACAGAUGUGAAAUCCCCGGGCUCAACCUGGGAAUUGCAUUUGUGACUGCACGGCUAGAGUGUGUCAGAGGGGGGGUAGAAUUCCACGUGUAGCAGUGAAAAUGCGUAGAGAUGUGGAGGAAUACCGAUGGCGAAGGCAGCCCCCCUGGGAUAACACUGACGCUCAUGCACGAAAAGCGUGGGGGAGCAAACAGG